AUUGAACGCUGGCGGCAUGCUUUACACAUGCAAGUCGAACGGCAGCGCGGGCUUCGGCCUGGCGGCGAGUGGCGAACGGGUGAGUAAUGCAUCGGAACGUGCCCAGUAGUGGGGGAUAGCCCGGCGAAAGCCGGAUUAAUACCGCAUACGACCUGAGGGUGAAAGCGGGGGACCGAAAGGCCUCGCGCUAUUGGAGCGGCCGAUGUCGGAUUAGCUAGUUGGUGGGGUAAAGGCUUACCAAGGCGACGAUCCGUAGCUGGUCUGAGAGGACGACCAGCCAACCGGGACUUGGGACAGGGCCAGACUCCUACGGGGAGGAAGAGGUGGGAAUUUUGGACAAUGGGGGGAAACCUGAUCCCGCCCUGCCGCCGGGGGGAAGAAGGGCCUUGGGUUUGUAAACCGUUUUUGUUGGGAAGAAAAUCCUCUGGCUAAUACCCCGGGGGGAUGACGGUACCGGAAGAAUAAGCACCGGCUAACUACGUG
rnacentral:rRNA from 1 species